ACUACAUCACGUUGAAACACCAGUUCUCGUACGAUCACCGAAGUUAAGCAACGUCCAGCCUGGUUAGUAUCUAGAUGAGUGACCGCUUGGGAAUCUGAGGUGUCGUAAU
rnacentral:rRNA from 1 species